GACGAACGCUGGCGGCGUGCUUAACACAUGCAAGUCGAACGAAGUGGCGAACGGGUGAGUAACGCGUAAUCAACCUGCCCUUCAGAGGGGGACAACAGUUGGAAACGACUGCUAAUACCGCAUACUGAAGGAGGGGAUUGCGUCUGAUUAGCUAGUUGGAGGGGUAACGGCCCACCAAGGCGACGAUCAGUAGCCGGUUUGGGAGGGUUGACGGCCACAUUGGGACUUGUGCACGGGCCAGACUCCUUCGGGAGGCAGCAGUGGGGAAUCUUUCGAAAUGGGCGAAAGGCUGACGGAGCAACGCCGCGUGAGUGAUGACGGCCUUCGGGUUGUAAAGCUCUGUUAAUCGGGACGCGGUACCGGAAUAGAAAGCCACGGCUAACUACGUGCCAGCCGCCGCGGUAAUAC
rnacentral:rRNA from 1 species